rnacentral:rRNA from 1 species
AUACGUAGGUGGCAAGCGUUGUCCGGAUUUACUGGGCGUAAAGAGUAUGUAGGCGGAUAUUUAAGUCAGAUGUGAAAUUCCCGGGCUUAACCUGGGCGCUGCAUUUGAUACUGGAUAUCUAGAGUGUGGGAGAGGAAAGUGGAAUUCCUAGUGUAGCGGUGAAAUGCGUAAAGAUUAGGAAGAACACCAGUGGCGAAGGCGGCUUUCUGGACCAUAACUGACGCUGAGAUACGAAAGCGUGGGGAGCAAACAGGAUUAGAUACCCUGGUAGUCCACGCCGGAAACGAUGAAUACUAGGUGUCGGAGGGUACCACCUUCGGUGCCGAAGUUAACACAUUAAGCACUCCGCCUGGGGAGUACGGUCGCAAGACUGAA